rnacentral:rRNA from 1 species
AUUGAACGCUGGCGGCAGGCCUAACACAUGCAAGUCGAACGGUAACAGGAAACAGCUUGCUGCUUCGCUGACGAGUGGCGGACGGGUGAGUAAUGUCUGGGAAACUGCCUGAUGGAGGGGGAUAACUACUGGAAACGGUAGCUAAUACCGCAUAACGUCGCAAGACCAAAGAGGGGGACCCUCGGGCCUCUUGCCAUCGGAUGUGCCCAGAUGGGAUUAGCUUGUUGGUGGGGUAACGGCUCACCAAGGCGACGAUCCCUAGCUGGUCUGAGAGGAUGACCAGCCACACUGGAACUGAGACACGGUCCAGACUCCUACGGGAGGCAGCAGUGGGGAAUAUUGCACAAUGGGCGCAAGCCUGAUGCAGCCAUGCCGCGUGUAUGAAGAAGGCCUUCGGGUUGUAAAGUACUUUCAGCGGGGAGGAAGGGAGUAAAGUUAAUACCUUUGCUCAUUGACGUUACCCGCAGAAGAAGCACCGGCUAACUCCGUG